rnacentral:lncRNA from 10 species
AAAAGAGUGUGGCCCAGAGUUGAGCUCCAGCAUAAAACCAAGCAAGACUGUCAUUGCCCUUACUUUGGCACUACACUUUUAUUACAGCAGCUAAGGUCUCACCAUGGCUUUGGGGAUGAGCACCUUGAACUGUUGAUUUAUGCUGGGUCUACAGUCACCGGAGAGCCCCACAUCUUUCUCAUGGCUGCUCAGCCACGUCCACUCAUCCGGUGCUUGCAGGCUGCAGGCUGGGCCUGAAGGAAGGUGAAGGAAACCGGUUAUCGAGCUGUAUCAUCCCUUCUCUCAUGUCCCCUUUACAGUACCCCUUGGGAGAACAUUCAGUCCGUGUCCUGCUCUCACUUUGCAGAAGAAACCCCGAAUCUCAGAGGCACAAAGUGGUAUGCCUGAGGCUGCCCAGUCAGCUAGAGCCAGGGGUAGGGAUUUCAGCCCAGGUUUGCAUGACCCCUAGUUCAAGCUCUCAUCUUUAACCAGGCUGACCCAAGAUGGGGCCUCACCUGUAAAGGAAACUAAGGGCCCAGGGCAUCUGUUCUGCUCCAGGGGUGGUGGAUGAAGAGAGGACGGGUGUGACAUUAUCCCAGGAUCUCUGUGUGAGUCUUAUCUCCCCAUGUUAAUUAUAAGCGCCUGAGAGCUAGGACUUCUUAUUAAUUUCUGUCUCUCCCAAAAAGACCCAGCAUGCCCUCCCCAUAGUGGGUACCCAGUAAAUACUCACCCAGUGAAUUAGGUUGUAGAAACUGAGAUCCAGAGAAGUACAGCAGUUUGCUCAAGGUCAUAUGGCAGGUCCUCAACUAAAGUCAGGACUUGUAACCAGGCCCCCUGACUUCUAUGGCAAUGCUCCUUCUGCCAUUGCACAGUGGCCCUAGUGUCCUCGAGACCCCGGGACUAGAAAUUUCAAUGGAUUGGAAGACACUAGGGAGGAAAAGGACAUUCACAUGUAAGCCAAGGCUGAGUCUGGCCCUGGGGCCUUCAGAGCGUGUGCCCUGGGGCUAAGGCUGGAAACAGGUUGUACACCUGUGCAGGUGCACAGAGCCCUGCUUUCAGAGGGACACUGUGCUUGGUGGAAUGUUCUGCAGUCACUGUCUUAAAUUUUUUUUUUUUUGAGAUAGAGUCUCACUCUGUUGUCCAGGCUGGAGCACAGCAGCACGAUCUUGGCUCACAGCAACCUCUGUCUCCCAGGUUCAAGUGAUUCUCCUGCCUCAGCCUCCCGAGUAGCUUGGAUUACAGGUGCCCGCCACCACACCUGGCUAAUGUUUUUUUUUUGGGGGGGGGGUUGUGUUUUCUUUUUUUUCUUUUUCUUUUUUUUUUUUUUGUAUUUUUAGUAAUGACAGGGUUUCACCAUGUUGGCCAGGCUAGUCUUGAACUCUUGACCUCAAGUGAUCCGUCCGCCUUGGCCUCCUAAAGUGUUGGGAUUACAGGCGUGAACCACCGCACCUGGCCGAAAUUCUUAAUAAUUUUAUCUUUGAAUUUAUAUUUUUAAGUGAAGUUUCAAUGAAGUAUGUGCCAGGGCUCAGAACCUCAGCUUGCAUGAGGUCCCACCUCUUGUUGCCUCACUGCUUCCUGGGGAUGGGUUCUUGGACUAGAGCUCCCUCGCCCCUGGCACCCUCUGGUUCCAUUCAGCCUCCCACUUCCCACUCCUGCUGGGCUGCCAGUGAGGCCGCCUGGUGUAUUCAGCUGGAAACUCUGCAGGGCAAGCCUUUCAUCCACUGCUCUUACAGGACAUUAGGUAAUCUGAAUUAGAAGUGGACGAAAGGAUUGUGUUGCGGCAGCGGCCAGGACCAGGCCACUCACUACCUGGAUCGGGGCAGACAAGAAGAUUGUGUUGGGCCAGUGAACCGUGGGAAGGGGAAAUGCCUGGCAUGACUUCCUGGCCCUGCCCUAGGGCAGGAUGUGUCGGUCCUGGGUGUGAUAAGAGAAAGAAAUUGGCAGCCAGUGGGCUUCUUGUGCAGUACACGGACACCUAUGUGGAUCACGGUAUUAAUAAUAAAUAAAAAACACCAUGACAGUCUGGGCAUGGUGGUUCACACCUGUAAUCCCAGCACUUUGGGAGGCUGAGGCAAGAGGAUUGACUGAGUCCAGGAGUUUGAAACCAGCCUGGUCAACAUAGUGAGACCCUGUCUCUACCAAAAGUUUGUAAACU